AUGCUUUGGAAGAAGCUUGUACAGUUUGGGAAGGGGUUUUUUGAGAGAAAAGAAGAAUCUACUUCAACCGAUAUGCCCUUAGGCACGGCCAUGCAUAACAUAGAAAUCACACGUGGAAGGGGUGGGCAAUUAGCUACAGCAGCAGGUGCUGUAGCGAAACUCAUUGCAAAAGAGGGUAAAUCGGCCACUUUAAGAUUACCAUCUGGGGAGGUCCGUUUAGUAUCCCAAAACUGCUUAGCAACAGUCGGACAAGUGGGUAAUGUUGGGGUGAACCAAAAAAGUUUGGGUAGAGCCGGAUCUAAGUGUUGGCUAGGUAAACGCCCCGUAGUAAGAGGGGUAGUUAUGAACCCUGUGGACCACCCCCAUGGGGGCGGUGAAGGGAAAGCUCCCAUUGGUAGAAAAAAACCCACAACCCCUUGGGGUUAUCCUGCGCUUGGAAGAAGAACUAGGAAAAGGAAAAAAUAUAGCGAUAGUUUUAUUCUUCGUCGCCGUAAGUAA
rnacentral:rRNA from 1 species